rnacentral:ncRNA from 1 species
AAUAAAUUUUUUAUGGUUUGAAAAAUUUAUAAUAAGUUUAUUUUACAUAUAAAUUUUAGUGUUAAUUUUUAAUUAUUUUAAUAAUAAUUAAUUUAUUUUAUAGUAGUAAUUAAUUUUAAAAAUUUAAGAAAUUAAGAUUUAGUAAUAUAAAAAUUUUUAACUAAUUUUGUGCCAGCAGUUGCGGUUAUACAAAAAAAAUAUAAAUUUUUUUAGUGAUUAAUUAAUAAAUUUAUUAUUAAAUAAAUUAAAUUUUAAAUUAUUAAGUGAAAUUUUAAUUUAAUAUAAUUUUAUAAUAAAAUUAUGUUUAUUAAUAAAUUUUAUUAAAAACUAGGAUUAGAUACCCUAUUAUUAAAAAUUUAAAUUAAAAAUACUAAAAUAGUAAAUAAUUAUUUAUUGAAACUUAAAUGAUUUGGCGGUAUUUUAGUUCAUUUAGAGGAAUCUGUUUAAUAAUUGAUAAUCCACGAAUAAAUUUACUUAAUUUAAAAGUUUAUAUAUCGUUGUUAAAAAAAUAUUUUUUAAUAAAAAUAAUAUUUUAAAAUUUAAAUUUAAAAUUAAAUCAGAUCAAGAUGUAGUUUAUAAUUAAGAAUAUAAUGGAUUACAAUGAAUUUAUUUAUAUGGCUUUUAAUUUGAAAUAAUUAAAUAAAAGUGGAUUUAACUGUAAUUUUUUUUAAUUUAAAAAAAUGAUUAAAAAUUAAAAUAUGUACAUAUUGCCCGUCGCUUUCAUUUAAAAAUUGAAAUAAGUCGUAACAAAGUAGAGGUACUGGAAAGUGUUUCUAGAAAGAU